CCCCGGUAAACGGCGGCCGUAACUAUAACGGUCCUAAGGUAGCGAAAUUCCUUGUCGGGUAAGUUCCGACCUGCACGAAUGGCGUAAUGAUGGCCAGGCUGUCUCCACCCGAGACUCAGUGAAAUUGAACUCGCUGUGAAGAUGCAGUGUACCCGCGGCAAGACGGAAAGACCCCGUGAACCUUUACUAUAGCUUGACACUGAACAUUGAGCCUUGAUGUGUAGGAUAGGUGGGAGGCUUUGAAGUGUGGACGCCAGUCUGCAUGGAGCCGACCUUGAAAUACCACCCUUUAAUGUUUGAUGUUCUAACGUGGACCCGUAAUCCGGGUUGCGGACAGUGUCUGGUGGGUAGUUUGACUGGGGCGGUCUCCUCCUAAAGAGUAACGGAGGAGCACGAAGGUUGGCUAAUCCUGGUCGGACAUCAGGAGGUUAGUGCAAUGGCAUAAGCCAGCUUGACUGCGAGCGUGACGGCGCGAGCAGGUGCGAAAGCAGGUCAUAGUGAUCCGGUGGUUCUGAAUGGAAGGGCCAUCGCUCAACGGAUAAAAGGUACUCCGGGGAUAACAGGCUGAUACCGCCCAAGAGUUCAUAUCGACGGCGGUGUUUGGCACCUCGAUGUCGGCUCA
rnacentral:rRNA from 2 species